AUACCUUCUCAAUCAGGAGGCAGGAGGUUCUCCAGGAGCCACCAAUUCCAGAGUUCCAAAGCAGAUGGCCAGCACUGUUUGAUGUCAGUGAGAUUAACUUGGAGUUUAUGCGACUGACAACUAUACCUCUGACCUCCAAAUUCCUUGGAGAACUGGACCGUCAGACCGACAACCUGAUGAAGGUUUUUAAUUCCAAAGUUGGAGCAGCAGAAAGAAAGUUGGCAGCCAUAAUGGCCCAGAUGGAUAAUAAUGAAGACAUCAACGUGAGGCGAGAUUGUGUGCUGAGCUGUCUCAGCAUCUACCUCAAUGAAGACCUGGACACACUGGUUAAAGAAACGUGGUAUGCAUGCCAGCCUACUGUGCUUUUGGCCAGAUGUAAUUCAUUUCUAUCUAGACAUACCUGAUAACAUGUGGCAUUCAUGAGAAUGGGAUGGAAAUGGGGAUACAUUGACCUUGACCACCGACAGUAUCAUUGAGUCAGUUGGGUUGUUUAAAAUGAAAAAUUCCCCCCAAUGCAAGUGGUGGUAGAACUUUCCCUUUGUAGGAAGUAAAUCCACUAGGUCGAGAGGAUAAAGUUGGAUGGGUCCUGGCACCUAUACGCCCCCACGAUGCCAGGGAUGACAUCUCUCACCUAAACAACAAGGUGAGGACACAGACGCUUGACUGUUCUUAUGAGCCAGCAGUUUUAAUUGUAUUGACAUUGAUUUUUGGAAGUGUUUAGCAAGAAAUGCCUUUCAGAUAAUGUCAGGUCAUUUUGAUUCUUGGUUGUGAUCAGUUGGUUACUACUGUGUUUGUUUGGGGAGUAUCAUAGGAUACAUGCUGUGGACUAUCUGCUUAUGAACUCCAACGUCUUGAGAACAUCAUACAGAAGGAAGCCUUCUUGUCUUCUUUGAAGAUAUGUGAAGCAUCUGAGGAUCUAAGGCAGUCAGUAAAGCCAAAGUCAGAAGUCAAGAGGUCAAAGGCUUCAUUGGGAAAAGAGCAGUGUCCCCGGAAAUCCCUCCGUCUUAACGAAGCGCAGAACCUUACCCUAAGCAGAGAAUCAACCCAUAAACACGUGAGAACAAGAGUACUACUUCAAAGGAUUUGUCUCACAUUUUAAUUGUUGUCACCUUGAUGGAAAAAAUGGCACAGUUUGAAAGUUGGGGUGUGAAUAGUCAACACAAAAUUCAUCCUAAUGACUAUUUUUCCCCCCAGGCUUUUAGGUGGUGAUCAGAGGUCUUAAGGUCAUUGUUACCAUGAACUUGCAUCCAUCUCAUUCUCAUGAACGCAUGUAUGCCGUGCUUUAUUUUCAAAUUAACACUCAGUUGGCCUAAGGAUGAGCUGCUUACAUUUUGGGAGUCCAGGUUAAGGUCGCACAACUAAUUGUUCUGUUCUUUUUAUGUUUCAGGACAUUGAUUCCAGAGAGGCUGAGGCAGACAUUACAUGGGCAUCUACACAGUCCGAGCAGAGGGUCAUGGUCCUGAUGGUCCAGGUGAUGGAAGCUUUGCUGAUGUUGGUGUUGUGCUGGAAGGCGUGGAAGUUCUCCAUAGCCUGCAGAGUGUCAGCCAUGCCUGUGUGACGCUUU